rnacentral:rRNA from 1 species
AUUGAACGCUGGCGGCAUGCUUUACACAUGCAAGUCGAACGGCAGCGCGGGGGCAACCCUGGCGGCGAGUGGCGAACGGGUGAGUAAUACAUCGGAACGUACCCAGAAGUGGGGGAUAACGUAGCGAAAGUUACGCUAAUACCGCAUACGUUCUACGGAAGAAAGUGGGGGAUCGCAAGACCUCAUGCUUUUGGAGCGGCCGAUGUCUGAUUAGCUAGUUGGUGAGGUAAAGGCUCACCAAGGCGACGAUCAGUAGCUGGUCUGAGAGGACGACCAGCCACACUGGAACUGAGACACGGUCCAGACUCCUACGGGAGGCAGCAGUGGGGAAUUUUGGACAAUGGGGGCAACCCUGAUCCAGCAAUGCCGCGUGAGUGAAGAAGGCCUC